UAUCUCCUACAGUGUUCGACAGUGCGCUGGGUGUUUCCUGAACCUAUAUUACCCCCGGGGGUGAAUUCCGAUAAUGUGAGCAUGCCCGUCUCGACGGGAAGCCUGAUUUAUCGCCCGCAUCCCCACUUGAACCAUCGGUUCAAGGACGAAAGUGUAUAACGGCAUCGGUGGGAGAUAC
rnacentral:other from 1 species